rnacentral:lncRNA from 1 species
AGCACCCCGGGAGUGGCGGAGCCCCGGAGCCCCAGGGCUGGAUCCACUUUAUCUGAGACUCCUGCGGCCGACGGCGCAAAAAGCAAAGGCACCCAGGGGCCGGGGGAGCCCGAAGAUUUGGCUGGGAAGAACGAAAGAAACCGAAAUUGGCUGGGAGCUGUCCAAGAGAGUCAAAAGGGGUGGAGAACCCACUUCCUUUUCUCCAAGACCAUGGUUGAUCCACCUUCCUCCCUCAGGCUCCUUCUUGACAGUCUUCUAGAAAGGAGAAGAGGGAAAAGAAGCAGUUCCUGAUGCACAUGAACAACUGCUCCCAGCCUUAGUCCUUUGAAGGAAGAUGGCCGAAAGAGAGGAACUCCAAGUCACUUCUCAAAGAAAUGCUGGCUUAAACAUCAUCCUUGUCUAAUGAAGAAAACAAAGAAUUUCAUGUAUCUUGUGGAACACCUUCAGGUCAAAGUACCAGCAGAGUGAAGAAAGAAACUGCUAGAAGCCACAAAGCAAUACGCUUUUUAGUCAUCAAUGAAGAGCCCA